rnacentral:lncRNA from 1 species
UUGUCAGUGGAAAGGCAUAAGGCUGAGCUGAGACCAGUUGCUGGUGAAACUGGGCCAAUCUGGGGAGGGGAACAUCCUUGCCAGGGAGUUUCUGAGGGUCUGUUUUGUUUACCUUUCGUGCGGUGGAUUCUUUUUAACUCCGUCUACCUGGCGUUUUGUUAGAAAUGUCAGAUAGGAAAAUAAAAACCAUUUGAGUAAAAAAAAAAC